UACGUAGGGGGCAAGCGUUGUCCGGAAUCAUUGGGCGUAAAGAGCGUGUAGGCGGCCCGGUAAGUCCGUUGUGAAAGUCGAGGGCUCAACCCUCGAAUGCCGGCGGAUACUGUCGGGCUAGAAUCCGGAAGAGGCGAGUGGAAUUCCUGGUGUAGCGGUGAAAUGCGCAGAUAUCAGGAGGAACACCGAUGGCGAAGGCAGCUCGCUGGGACGGUAUUGACGCUGAGACGCGAAAGCGUGGGGAGCAAACAGG
rnacentral:rRNA from 1 species